rnacentral:rRNA from 1 species
CCUACGGGUGUCUGCAGUGGGGAAUAUUGGACAAUGGGGGGAACCCUGAUCCAGCCAUGCCGCGUGUGUGAAGAAGGCCCUCGGGUUGUAAAGCACUUUCAGUGAGGAAGAACGCCUGGUGGUUAAUACCCAUCAGGAAAGACAUCACUCACAGAAGAAGCACCGGCUAACUCCGUGCCAGCAGCCGCGGUAAUACGGAGGGUGCGAGCGUUAAUCGGAAUUACUGGGCGUAAAGCGCGCGUAGGUGGCUUGAUAAGCCGGUUGUGAAAGCCCCGGGCUCAACCUGGGAACGGCAUCCGGAACUGUCAAGCUAGAGUGCAGGAGAGGAAGGUAGAAUUCCCGGUGUAGCGGUGAAAUGCGUAGAGAUCGGGAGGAAUACCAGUGGCGAAGGCGGCCUUCUGGACUGACACUGACACUGAGGUGCGAAAGCGUGGGUAGCAAACAGGAUUAGAUACCCGGGUAGUC